UUUCCGUAGGUGAACCUGCGGAAGGAUCAUUAUUGAAACUUGAAUCGUAGCAUUGAGAACUGUUGCUGACCUGUUAAAGGGUAUGUGCACGUUCGACGUGUUGCGUUCUAUUCAUCCACCUGUGCACCUUUGUAGACUUGAUUAACUUUCGCUUUCGAGCGGUUAGAAGGGCUGCUUUCGAGCUCCCUUUGUCUAUCAAGUCUAUGUCUAUAUAAUCUCUUGUAUGUCUAGAAUGUCUUGUUUAUGGGACGCAAGUCCUUUAAACCUUAUACAACUUUCAACAACGGAUCUCUUGGCUCUC
rnacentral:misc_RNA from 1 species